rnacentral:antisense_RNA from 1 species
AGAUUUGCUGCCAAUUUGUACUGACUUCUGAAAAAUACUUUAUCCAUUGUCUUCUUACAUCAGAAUCAACUCCCUAAAUUCUUCAGCACUGGCUUUGUAAACUGGUUUCUGGUCUUUGUUUCUGUCAACUUACCUAUAAAAGGAUACAAAAACUGAAGAACAGAGAGGAGCAGAUACCCUGGAAAGCCGAAGGUUUUAUUGACCAAAGACUGAGUCUCGGAAUGUUUUGAUUAGGGGAGUUUACAGAGUUCAGGCUGAGGUUUUAUAAAAAUAACUUGCAGCAGUAUGGAGGACUGAUGAGAAAGUAGACAGAUGCUGGAAGCAGGAAAACUGAACAGCAGGUCCCUGGCCAAGGAGAAUCAAAGAGCUAGAUGCUGAGAAUAAUGCAGCCAUAAUGUGAAAUCUUUUUGAGGCCUUCAGGCCUGGAGUCAUCGGUUCAUCAAGCUCCGUGGUGGUCUUAAAAUAUAUCCACAAAUUCUCUGACAUCCUCUCUUCAAGAAGUGGAGCUUAAUUCCCUUUCCUUUGAGUACAGACCACUCAUUCUGGGAGAAAGCAACUGCUAUGUCAUGAGGAAAUUGAAACCUAUGGAGAAAGGUUUUUCACCUAUGAAGAAAGGCCCACAUGGUGAGAAAGUAAAGCCUCUUCCCAAUACCAAAAUUCUGUAAGUCUGCUACAGUGACAUUUCUGGUUAGGAGUCAGAGUGGAUGGGGCACUGAGCAAUAAGUCAUCUGUGGACCACACCUACACCAGCGCUCCCUUCUGCGCAUCCUAUGGCACCUGUCUACUUUCUGCUUUGGGAAUCCCCACAGAGGCUAGCACAGUGCUGAACUUGU